UAAGUAUGGCUUAUCCGAAGGAGAAUUGGGCACUGAUUCCGAUGAGCUAUGUCUCGAGCCGAUCAGAGAAGAGGAACCGUGUCAAAUUUCAUAAAUAACACCUUCCAUAUUUGGAAAAUGGGCUUGAUGACGUGCGUACUGCUUAGCUGUCACCAUGCUGUGCAUGCUCAGCAGUGUAAUUGAAUGGAAGAAAACAAUUACUUUGGUGUUUUGCAGCUCUAUUUCGUUCCCUGACGGUACCCAAAUCUAGAUGUAGGAAUCUGUUGAGCAGGAGAGUGACACAUGUCUUCCCGAAGGCUGUCCAGCCUGCAGUGGUGAUGAAGAAGACACGAAUAACACCCCAAGAUCGAUUGUAGCGAAUUGAAAAACUCAUGGUGAAUUUGCUUCCACUCCAAGGCAAUGUCGAGGUAUGAAGGGUGCUUGUGCUGCCUUCCAAAGUGAAGCGGAGAUGAACAUGGCUUUGCAUAGCUGUUGUUCUACGCCAACUUACCUACUCUUGCUUCUACCGUAGUGGUAUAUUGCAAAUUUCGUGGACGAACAAUUUGAGUCACUAGUGGCUAGUGAGCAACACUAACAGAGCCUUGACGUUGCUGGACGAGCGACAAUAUAAAUUACAUAAACGUGUAGCUCAUAAUGUGGGAUGACUGCCGUAUUGCAUUGCCAACGCAAACCCAUCCUGUGUCAGUGCAGCCAUCCAGCAACGUACUCCCCGGACCAGAUGCCGCUGCAGCUGAACACCAUGCC